CCUACGGGGGGCAGCAGUGGGGAAUAUUGGACAAUGGGGGGAACCCUGAUCCAGCCAUGCCGCGUGUGUGAAGAAGGCCCUCGGGUUGUAAAGCACUUUCAGUGAGGAAGAACGCCUGGUGGUUAAUACCCAUCAGGAAAGACAUCACUCACAGAAGAAGCACCGGCUAACUCCGUGCCAGCAGCCGCGGUAAUACGGAGGGUGCGAGCGUUAAUCGGAAUUACUGGGCGUAAAGCGCGCGUAGGUGGCUUGAUAAGCCGGUUGUGAAAGCCCCGGGCUCAACCUGGGAACGGCAUCCGGAACUGUCAAGCUAGGGUGCAGGAGAGGAAGGUAGAAUUCCCGGUGUAGCGGUAAAAUGCGUAGAGAUCGGGAGGAAUACCAGUGGCGAAGGCGGCCUUCUGGACUGACACUGACACUGAGGUGCGAAAGCGUGGGUAGCAAACAGGAUUAGAUACCCUAGUAGUC
rnacentral:rRNA from 1 species